AAUGAACGCUGGCGGCGUGCUUAACACAUGCAAGUCGGAUGUGCCGCAAGGUGCAUGGCAGACGGGUGAGUAACGCGUAGGGAACCUACCUCUUUGUGGGGAAUAACGUUCCGAAAGGAAUGGUAAUACCGCAUGAGAUCCACGAUUGGGAUGUUGUGGAUGAAAGCCGGGGAUCGAAAGACCUGGCGCAAGGAGAGGGUCCUGCGUCUGAUUAGCUAGUUGGUGGGGUAACGGCCUACCAAGGCAACGAUCAGUAGCCGGCCUGAGAGGGUGAUCGGCCACACUGGAACUGAGACACGGUCCAGACUCCUACGGGAGGCAGCAGUGGGGAAUUUUGCGCAAUGGACGAAAGUCUGACGCAGCAACGCCGCGUGGGUGAUGAAGGUCUUCGGAUUGUAAAACCCUGUCGUCAGGGACGAAGGUAGGGGCCUUAAUACGUCUGAGGUUGACGGUACCUUCUUAGCAAGCACCGGCUAACUCUGUGCCAGCAGCCGCGGUAAU
rnacentral:rRNA from 1 species